rnacentral:lncRNA from 1 species
CUUGACCCCGAGGGUAUGCCAGAUCCGCCACAAAUACAGGGAGUCCACUGUUCAGACGGACAGAGUCUCCUCUGUAUUUGCACGACGUCGCACAUGUACAAAGAUACAACCAUAACUGUAUGAACAUUCACAUACAUAAACCACAUCACAAUUACCAUUCAUUUAAUCACAGAUAUUCACAUCCACAUCUAUUAGUUUAAAAUAUUUCCUACCGGGAAACUUAUUUUGAAACACUAAGAAUCAUGAAAACCAUGCAAAAUCUUUUUAAAUUCGUUUCCCACACGGAAACCUUUUUCUUUUAAAAUACGCUACCACGAGGGGUAGAAAACCAUUUUCAUCACAUAAAAACCACAAGUUCUUUAUUAUAUUCACCAAAUCCCAAUUAUCCAAUUAAAGUAAAACACUGAACCAUAAUUACUGUCUAAGUCAAUUAUU